GUGAGUGCUCUGUGCCUUGGGAUUCCAGCUGAAGACGAGCAUGCCUGCAAGAAGUCUAACGCUCUCCUGGUCUUUCCAUGAAAGGCACCUUGAAUGAAGGCCAGAAAUUAGCAACACAAUUGCAGAAGGGAGUGAUAUGCAGGAAGACUUGAAAGGGAGAAGUUUGCAAAUGAGGAAUUGGCACUGUUGAUCUAGCACUGUCCAUGGGCUACACCUCCGAGCACGGCUGACAUGGCUACAGAGGCUCAAGCUCAGGAGAGGGAAGAACUGUCACUUUAAAUACAGCUUUGAGAUUUAACUUCUACACUGCACUGGAUAUGGUCACUACUGAAAUGAGAUAAUUUGGGGCCUGAAAGUGACCACAAGACUUUAUUAUAAAGGUGUGACCAGCCCACAUUAGGAGAUCAGCCGAAGAUUUCACCCAAGAGGUCAUGUUCAAGAAGUCAGUGAGAUCAUUGGGGAGAUGGAUGAAGCACAGUUCUGCCUGGAGUGACAUCUGAUGGGCCAGAGCCUUCCCCUGUCAAUAUUUCAGGAGAAAUUAAAAACGGUAACUACGAGGAAGGUUGUUUUCUAAAGACUCUUUCCCAGUUGGAAUCAGAUCAAACACAGCUGGGGCUGCUGGCCUGGCGCUGCCUGACCUGCCUUCCAGUUGCCCCCAGUGACCCCAGGAAUGGGCCUGCACAGAGUGCUGAGGCCUGGCAGCCCGGGCCCCAGCAACCCAUCCAAAUGAGCUUAAAUAACUGAAAGAAGUGGCAUCUGCCAUACGGGAAGAAUGUGGCCGCGCUGUUUGCUUUAAAGAGGCUGAGACCAGAUCUGGCUUGGAUCUGCAGGGAAUAUAAAUGAUGCAAUUAAUUCCCUAUAAUUUACAAGUCGUCAUUUGCACGGAGCUCUGCGAGAAAGGAUUUGGAAACAGUAUAUUGAAUGCCGUGGGCUCAUGUGAGAGAAUCAUCAUUCUCUCCACCUAUGGAAAACCAGCUCAGUGUGGAGGGCUCAGCCUGAGUGCUGCCUUGCAAAGCUUUCCUUGAAUGGCCCACCUGCACCCCAGUUUUGUCUCUUCAGGUUAUUAUACCUGCAUUUAGUCCUCACUUCAUUUCUGCUUUGAAUUGUGGUUGUUUCCACCUCUUUCAAAUAUUGAGAACUCACUGAGGGGUGAAACCAUGUGUAAAACCUCUGGAUAUCCUCCUCCUUCCCCUCCAGCACCACUGUUGUUUCUUGCCCAUCGUGUAUAAUCAAUAAAUAUGUACUGUAUGGCACUGCAUUGAUGACAAGGCUAGCUACCCAUUUUCUGCCAAUGCCAGCCAAGGACCAUACAUAUAAGAAAACGAGUCCUAGAUGGAUUUAGUGAGCCUGAUUAGGUGGAGAGAAAGAGAGAAGGUUUUUUGUUUUUGUUUUUUGUUGUUGUUGUGGUUGUUGUUUAGAUGGAGUCUUGCUCUGUCUUGCCCAGGCUGGAGUGCGGUGGCGUGAUCUCGGCUCACUGAAGCCUCCGCCUCCCAGGUUCAAGUGAUUCUCCUGUGUCAGCCUCCUGAGUAGCUGGGACUAUAAGCUUGUGCCACCAUGCCCGGUGAAUUUUUGUAAUUUUAGUAGAGAUGGGAUUUCACCAUGUUGUCCAGGCUGUUCUCAAACCCCUGAACUCAGGUGAUCCACCCGCCUCGGCCUCCCAAAGUGCUGGGAUUACAGGCUUGAGCUGAGAAGGUUUAUUUGCUUUCUUUGUGGUAGAAGUUUUGCCUUUUUGCCCCACAUAGAUAAUAAUAUCUCAAUGUUCAGCUGAGGCACCCCCACUUCCCUUCUCUCAGUCCAUCUGUUUCAGAUGAGGCUGACUCUACCCCUAGUCCUAAGGGCAGAAUACAUGACUAGAGGAGUCAAUCAAUGUAGUCAAGGAAACAUUCAACCGCACUUAUAACCAAAGAAUAAAAAAUUAAAACAAUGAGAUAACAUUGUUUCGCUAUCAGCCUAGCAAAGAUUAAAUACAAAGAUAAUACUCUGUGGUGAGUAGAUAGUUCUUAAUAUGGGUGCUGUGGGGUAUUCAUAAACUGCUGGUAGGAAGAUAAUUUGAAGAAUGAUUAAUAAAUGCAUAUUAAAAUCCUUAAGAACAUGCAAACCUUUCAUAUGCAUCUAGGAAAGUGUUCUUAACAAAUUGCAUUGAUGACAAGGCCGGCUAUAAAUAGUCUUAUUUAUUUAAGUGAGACUGUGUAUGUCUAGCUAAUAGAAUAAACAUUGCAGUAAGUGUUCAUAAAACAAUGAAAAAUUGAAAAUAGCUUAAAUGUCCAGUAGAAGAGAAUGGGUUAAGUAAAUCUUGGUGUAUCCCAUAAUCAAAUAUUAUGUAUUUAUUAAAAUUGUUUUAGAAUAAAAUGUAUCUAAAUAGAAAAAUGUUUAUAAUAAGUGAUAAAGCAGACUAGCAAAUAAAAUAUCUUAUAUAUAUU